rnacentral:rRNA from 1 species
AGUGAACGCUGGCGGUAGGCCUAACACAUGCAAGUCGAACGGCAGCACAGUAAGAGCUUGCUCUUACGGGUGGCGAGUGGCGGACGGGUGAGGAAUACAUCGGAAUCUACUUUUUCGUGGGAGAUAACGUAGGGAAACUUACGCUAAUACCGCAUACGACCUACGGGUGAAAGCAGGGGAUCUUCGGACCUUGCGCGAUUGAAUGAGCCGAUGUCGGAUUAGCUAGUUGGCGGGGUAAAGGCCCACCAAGGCGACGAUCCGUAGCUGGUCUGAGAGGAUGAUCAGCCACACUGGAACUGAGACACGGUCCAGACUCCUACGGGAGGCAGCAGUGGGGAAUAUUGGACAAUGGGCGCAAGCCUGAUCCAGCCAUACCGCGUGGGUGAAGAAGGCCUUCGGGUUGUAAAGCCCUCUUGUUGGGAAAGAAAAGCAGCAGGUUAAUACCCCGCUGUUCUGACGGUACCCAAAGAAUAAGCACCGGCUAACUUCGUG